rnacentral:misc_RNA from 1 species
GUUUGCGCUUUUCUUUUUUCGACACUGCAAUUGAGAAAACAAAUCUACCAAAAUUCAGUUUCAAGAGUUCAAGUUUUGAUUGAGUUUUAUCCUAUUUUAUCAUCCUCAAUUCGAUUCCAAAUAUACUAAAAUUAUAUUUGGAAUCAAAUGAAUGAAAAUGGAGCUUAUUUGUUUUGUAAAAAUAUUUUAUAUUUCAACCCACUAAACUGGUGGGUUUACCUUACCAUAGCUACCUUUACAAAACCUUCAUAUACUCCAUCCAAAAAACCAAUUAAUCUUGAUUUUAUAAUAAUUAUCAUAAUGUUAAAAAUUCUAUCUUUUGUUAGAGAUUUUAUUGGAUUAACAACUAAUAUGUCAAAUGAAUACUACUAAAUAGAAUCAUAGCAGUUGAGUUUAAAAGAGAGAAUACUAACAGAAAUUUAUGCAGUAACUCCAGA